GUUCCUACGGGGCGCAGCAGUGAGGAAUAUUGGUCAAUGGACGAAAGUCUGAACCAGCCAAGUAGCGUGAAGGAUGACUGCCCUAUGGGUUGUAAACUGCUUUUGUACGAGGGUAAACCCCGAUACGUGUAUCGGGUUGAAAGUAUCGUACGAAUAAGGAUCGGCUAACUCCGUGCCAGCAGCCGCGGUAAUACGGAGGAUCCGAGCGUUAUCCGGAUUUAUUGGGUUUAAAGGGUGCGUAGGCGGUUUGAUAAGUUAGAGGUGAAAUGUCGGGGCUCAACCCCGAAACUGCCUCUAAUACUGUU
rnacentral:rRNA from 1 species